UACGAAGGGGGCUAGCGUUGCUCGGAAUCACUGGGCGUAAAGGGUGCGUAGGCGGGUCUUUAAGUCAGGGGUGAAAUCCUGGAGCUCAACUCCAGGAACUGCCUUUGAUACUGAGGAUCUUGAGUUCGGGAGAGGUGAGUGGAACUGCGAGUGUAGAGGUGAAAUCGUAGAUAUUCGCAAGAACACCAGUGGCGAAGGCGGCUCACUGGCCCGAUACUGACGCUGAGGCACGAAAGCGUGGGGAGCAAACAGG
rnacentral:rRNA from 1 species